UAGGGAAUCUUCCACAAUGGACGCAAGUCUGAUGGAGCAACGCCGCGUGAGUGAAGAAGGUUUUCGGACCGUAAAGCUCUGUUGUUGGUGAAGAAGGAUAGAGGUAGUAACUGGCCUUUAUUUGACGGUAAUCAACCAGAAAGUCACGGCUAACUACGUGCCAGCAGCCGCGGUAAUACGUAGGUGGCAAGCGUUGUCCGGAUUUAUUGGGCGUAAAAGCGAGCGCAGGCGGAAGAAUAAGUCUGAUGUGAAAGCCCUCGGCUUAACCGAGGAAUUGCAUCGGAAACUGUUUUCUUGAGUGCAGAAGAGGAGAGUAGAACUCCAUGUGUAGCGGUGGAAUGCGUAGAUAUAUGGAAGAAUACCAGUGGCGAAGGCGGCUCUCUGGUCUGCAACUGACGCUGAGGCUCGAAAGCAUGGGUAGCGAACAGGAUUAGAUACCCUGGUAGUCCAUGCCGUAAAACGAUGAGUGCUAAGUGUUGGGAGGCUUCCGCCUCUCAGUGCUGCAGCUAACGCAUUAAGCACUCCGCCUGGGGGAGUACGACCGC
rnacentral:rRNA from 1 species